CAACCACCGAGUAUAAAGGGAAUAGCUGGUUUACAGUAGAUAACCUAAAACAGUAAUUGAAGGGAAACUCCCAGAAGUUUUCCCCCAUCUCAGGUUCAGGGCUGUGUAUUUUUAGGAGAAGAUAAUAACCUGGUAACAAACCUGAACACUGACCAAGUUCUGAAAAAUUAACUACGCUGAAUAUACUUAAUAAGGCAGGAAAACAGAUGAGGCAUAUCUGAGGCACAGAGAGGUUAAGUUGGGGACUGAAGUGUGGCUCCAGAAUCUAAGUUUCUAACUGCCAUGCUAUGACUGACCCCACUGGACUCAUGACUCAUGGACUCAGCUGGUCCUGUGGCCCUACCCAGAAGUGGACUCAGCACACGAGGACCAUUUCCCACACUCCUGUGAUUUCAUCCCCAAUUAUUCAGCAGUACCCUUUCCAUAGCCCCUUGCCCACCAAGUUGUCCAUAAAAACCCUAGCCUCUGAGCUUUUGGGGAGAUGGAGUUGAGUAAUAACUCCAUCUACUGCAUGGCUGGCCUUGUGUCAAUUAAACUUUUUUCUUUACUGCAAUAACAUGGUCUCAGUGAACUGAUUUUGUUCAUGCAGGAGGCAGGAAAAGCCCCUUGGGUGAUUACACAGUGGUUCUCAAAGUAUGGACCUCCAACCAGCAGCAUCAGCAGCAUCUGGAUACUUGCUAGAAAUGGAAAUUCUCUGGCCCUAUUCCAGGCCUUCCAAGUUGGAAACUUUGUGAUGGGGCCCAGCACUCUGUGUUUUAACAAGCCCUCUAGCCUUAAGGAAAACAACUCUGAGGACUUUUGUCACGGACUUGAAAUUCUCAUCUGUGCUUGGACAAGACUCUGAAACAUACCAACUGUGUAUUUUCCUGCCUUUGGUAAAUCUGGAGCUAUUAACUGAUUCUAAAGAACAUUUGACUUAAAAAGACUAUGGAAAGCCCAAAGAAUAAAGAUAAUGAAGACCCCAGUGGAUUAUUAUUAGCAAAUGAAAACUGGAUAUCAAGAAGGGCAAAAUCUUCAACCUUAUCAGCAGAAAGAGUUUAUGUAAAAAUAUACCACAUAGAAUAACUAAAAAAAUAAGCAAGUGAUACCUUAUCUGAGCUCAAAAUAUCUGUUUCUUUGCAAAUGGAUAAAGGAUUUAUUAUAUUAUAGCACCUUGAGGACAGAGACUUUAUGUUUCUAACUACCCAUCCCAGCAUCAUCUAGUUCAUUCCUAUGCUGAACAGCCCCUAACACAUUGCCUAAAUAAAUACUAACAUUAUAUGUGUGCAAUGAAGUAUUCUUUUGCUAAAAGCAAAACUUUCAUAUGGUCUUACAAUAAGCCACUUGUAAGACUAGUUUUAAAUAAUUACUGAUACAAAUGCUGCCACUGCCCCCAAAGAAACCUGAAUAAAAUUAUGUUAGGCUGCACUAAUUUCAGUGUCAAGCUAUUUAACUCUGCUGAUAGUCAUUUUUUUAAAGAUCUUUUGAUCUUUAAAUUGAGAGAGUUGAACUAAAUAAUCUUUUAGAUAUCUUCUAGUUUAAUAUUCUAAGAUUCUAGUAAAUAUAUUGUGUUUGGUCAGGUGUGGUGGCUCAUGCCUGUAAUCCCAACAUUUUCAGAGGCUG
rnacentral:lncRNA from 10 species